rnacentral:rRNA from 1 species
UACGUAGGGUCCGAGCGUUGUCCGGAAUUACUGGGCGUAAAGAGCUCGUAGGUGGUUUGUCGCGUUGUUCGUGAAAACUCACAGCUCAACUGUGGGCGUGCGGGCGAUACGGGCAGACUGGAGUACUGCAGGGGAGACUGGAAUUCCUGGUGUAGCGGUGGAAUGCGCAGAUAUCAGGAGGAACACCGGUGGCGAAGGCGGGUCUCUGGGCCGAUAUUGACGCUGGAGGAGCGAAAGCGUGGGGAGCGAACAGG